GUCUGGAUGAACCGUUUUCCCCUGAAGAGAUCAACAGAACUGUAUUUAGUUUUCAUGUUGAUAAGAGCCUCAGCCUUAAUGGUUUUUCGAUAAUUUUUUUUUUAGAAAUUCUGAGAUUUAGUGUCUUCUAAUCUUUUGACCUUAUUUCAUGAGCUUCAUGAAUCGAAUAUGGAUCUCUCUCAGCUAACUAUGCUUAUUUCUAUCUCAUCCCUA
rnacentral:lncRNA from 1 species